rnacentral:lncRNA from 1 species
CCGGGCCGUGCAGGUGGCCGGUUUGAGGGUCCCCGGGAGGGGCUGUGGGGCUCAGUCUGCACAGCGCCCACGGGUGCCAGGACCACGGAGGAGGGCACAGGGCCGCAUGCUCCUUUGAAGGUGACCUUGGCAGCUGUGUGUUGAAGGUGCAGGUGCACGAAACAGAAGGACCCGGGUCCCUGGAUGACUGCCUGCGUGGAGCUGAGCCCUGGGUGCCCCACGUUGGGUGGUGACGGCCUCGAUCCUGUCCCUGCUGCCUGGAAAUCUCCUGCUCUGUUUGGUCAAAUUCACCUGUUAUCCUUCGGAUCUGAGCCCAAAUGUCACUUCCUCAGGGAAGGAUUCCCGGCACCCUCAGACGGGACUGUGUCCCCGUGUCUCAGUUGUGGAUCUCAGUUGCCAAGUCAGCAAACCUCUUGGUGCCUGUUUCCUCAUCUGAGAAAUGGCACACCACCGCCCUUUCACAGAGUUGCUGCUAAAGCCAAGAGGUUCCAGCGGAGAAGGGCCUGCAUUUGAGAGGGCUAAUUUGUUUUUCUGUUAAAUAAAAAUGGCGUUUCUACAAAAGGCGAUUCGAUCUCCUGUGCACUUGGGAUCCCUGUUUUUCUUGGAGUCCUGGCAUGCCACCUCCUUUUGCCUGUGCCGUCUCUCUGAGCCUCGGUUUCCCCUCCAUGACCAGCGCUGCUUCCUUAUGGGGCUCUGACUAUUUAAGGAGGAGAAAGCCGGCAGCCUGCAGCAGGCGCCCGUCCUCCCGGAGAGCAGGUUUUUUUUUUUUUUUUUAUUGGCACCUGGG